AAUUUUAGACAAUGGGGGAAACCCUGAUCCAGCAAUGCCGCGUGCAGGAUGAAGGCCUUCGGGUUGUCAACUGCUUUUGUACGGAACGAAAAGGCUUGGGCUAAUACACUGGGAUCAUGACGGUAACGUACGAAUAAGCCCCGGCUAACUACGUGCCAGCACCCGCGGUAAUACGUAGGGUGCAAGCGUUAAUCGGAAUUACUGGGCGUAAAGCGUGCGCAGGCGGUUUUGUAAGACAGUGGUGAAAUCCCCGGGCUCAACCGGGAACUGCCAUUGUGACUGCAAGGCUGGAGUGCGGCAGAGGGGGAUGGAAUUCCGCGUGUAGCAGUGAAAUGCGUAGAUAUGCGGAGGAACACCGAUGGCGAAGGCAAUCCCCUGGGCCUGCACUGACGCUCAUGCACGAAAGCGUGGGGAGCAAACAG
rnacentral:rRNA from 1 species